GUGCCAUGUUCUGUUACAUGCAUUUUGUCCUGUGUUCAACGAAUUAAAUUCCAUGUUUUUACAGGUUUAGUAAUCAGAGAUGAGAGUAAUGGGGCACUAAUGCCAUCUAAAGGUGAAAGUGGGUAGCGCUUCGGAUACUUACGUCUUUGUCUGAUGAUGUCAUAUGCCUUGGACUCAACGAACGUUAUCGUUACACACUGGAUCGGAAAGUUAUGGUGAUCUGCACUGGUUUCAAACCUCUUUAAGUUAAGCUUCAAGUUGGCUUUUGAAAGCAUCGUUGGUACGUGUGAAUGAAAUGCUAUGUUUACGAGAUUAUUAGAAAUAUAAUUUUUAGCCUACUUCAUCAACACCAUGAAAAGUGUACUUGAACUUGUGGUCUGCGUGAUUUGUUGAACUAGAAGACCAUGGAAAAAUGGCGGAGAUAUUCCCAAGUCACUUCUGAUUGUGCUGAGAGCUCAACAGUGCCAAACUUUGACAAAUUGACAUUCGCCAGUUGGCCUCAUUCAAUUCCAUUGCUGUCUGCCUAAUAAUGUCAGUGGUAAGUACAGUACCACGACGGGAGUGGUAAGUACAGUAAGUACGACGUUGUUUAAUUAGAUUGGUUAUCAAUGGGAUUUUAAGUUUAUAAUGAUAUUUGCCGAAGCGUUACCUAACGUUAGCGAGACAGCUCACUGACAUUAGUGUUAACGUUAAACAUGCUAUGAGCUAGGACACCAACGUGAUUUUGAUCAAAUACGUUUCAUUCAGCAUGGUAACUAUAUUCAGAUGUGCUGGUUAUCAACGAGUUUGCUAUUACUGUUAUGCAGAUGAACAGUGGAGUAAAUUAAUGUGCUACAUUUGCUUUGAACCUGAUAUAGCUAGAUAGGAGUUUUUGCUCCAACUGCUUUCAGAUAAUUUAUUUCCCUGUAAAUUUGCACUUCUAAAGUCUCACCAGUGCAGGUUUGUGUUCUUGAUGUAAUGUUGAUGGAAUAAUUUGUAUUGCUGUAUCUGCCAAAUAAUUUCUUAAAUGCAUAUGAGCUUUGCAGAUGCCGAGAGAGGCUGAAGUGACGAGGACAUUGCCUAUCAUUAGGGCAAUUACGACAAGGUCGAACCGGUGGUCUACUUCCUCAAGGAACCAUGAUGUUUUCAGGGAGGACUGUGGCCGUUUCUCCUCCUCAACCAGGUUUUUCAGGAGAGCACUGGUCACUCUACUAAAGACGUGCAUGGCAGGUUGGACACUGAAAUGGGAGUGGGUUGGCGGUCAUGAAGGAUAAAUGGGACCAAGGAUGCUGAGGACGAGAAAGGUGUGCGGUAGGAUGAACAGCCUUCAGCUUCAACAUCACCCCUAACACUCCUGGCUCCAUCAAACGUGCUGCAUCCUCCUUAGCUUGUCCCUGUUAUAGGUGUGCAGAGUUUAUAGACAGCUACCCAUCCUUUCCACAUUGUGUAUUUUCUGUUGUUCACACACACACUUCAGACAUUAGGAACUGAAAUCUUUUUUGAAAAUAUAAAUGAGUGUCAAACCUCCUUUCUAUGUUGCAGUCCCAC